GAUAGAUAGAUAGAUAGAUAGAUAGAUAGAUCUCUUUCUUUGUAGAAACGUGACUCUAUCUAUUUUGGAAAGCCUAAUUUCCCAGCAGCUUUGAACGCAUCACGAACUUUGAAACUUGAAGCGGUUAAAUCUGUUUUAGCUCAGCUAGCCUGACUUAAACUUAAAGCGGUUAAAUCUGCUAAUUUCAUCUAAUCCAUUAACUCUGAACUCUUAACUUCUAUGUAACAUGGACGUGUCCUUCAAUAAGCAAAUGUACUCCACACCCUGAUUUACAGAAACGCGCUGGAACGGAUCAUAAACAAGUAUUCAAAGCUCUGUGACGGAGGGAUAGAGGUGGACUUCACGUAUAGAGAUGAUAUGAUGCCUGAACACGACCGGAUGUGUCGAGAACAAACCUGAACAACUGGAAUCAGAGGUUUGGCU